GGCAAAGUGGCGGAGUGGUUAACGCGUGUGACUCGAAAUCACAUUCCUUCGGGAGCGCAUGUUCGAAUCAUGCCUUUGUCG